UACGAAGGGGGCUAGCGUUGUUCGGAAUCACUGGGCGUAAAGGGCGCGUAGGCGGCCGAUCAAGUCGGGGGUGAAAGCCUGUGGCUCAACCACAGAAUUGCCUUCGAUACUGGUUGGCUUGAGACCGGAAGAGGUAAGUGGAACUGCGAGUGUAGAGGUGAAAUUCGUAGAUAUUCGCAAGAACACCAGUGGCGAAGGCGGCUUACUGGUCCGGUUCUGACGCUGAGGCGCGAAAGCGUGGGGAGCGAUCCGG
rnacentral:rRNA from 1 species